CAGCCGUAAACUUUUACUUACAUCAUAAUCGCCAGGGAACUACGAGCUAAGCUUAAAACCCAAAGGACUUGACGGUACCCCAUAUCCCCCUAGAGGAGCCUGUCCUAUAAUCGAUAAUCCACGUUUAACCUCACCAUUUCUAGUUUAUCAGCCUGUAUACCUCCGUCGUCAGCUUACCACGUGAGCGCCAAUUAGUGAGCCUAAUGUUAUUUCACCAACACGUCAGGUCAAGGUGCAGCAAAUGAAAUGGAAAGAGAUGGGCUACACUUUCUAUUAUAGAAGAAACGAAAAACUACAUAUGAAACCUAGUUGGAAGGCGGAUUUAGCAGUAAAAAGGAAUCAGCACAUCCAUUUUAACCCGGCACUGGGGUGUGUACACACCGCCCGUCACCCU
rnacentral:rRNA from 1 species